rnacentral:rRNA from 1 species
GUCACUGCGGAGGAUCAUUG